rnacentral:rRNA from 1 species
ACCUACCCCGAGGACAGAGAUAGCUACUGGAAACGGUAGGUAAACUCUGAUAAGCCCGAGAGGGGAAAGUGGGAGUCAGCCUUGGGAUGGACCUACUAUCCAUCAGGUAGUUGGUGAGGUAAAGGCUUACCAAGCCGAUGACGGAUAACCGGUGUGAGAGCAUGUACGGUCACAAGGGCACUGAGACACGGGCCCUACUCCUACGGGAGGCAGCAGUGGGGAAUAUUGGACAAUGGGCGAAAGCCUGAUCCAGCGACGCCGCGUGAAGGAAGAAGUCCUUCGGGAUGUAAACUUCUGAACUAAUCGAAUAAGAGGGUAGUGGACACACUACAGAAGAAGGUAGAUUAGGAAAAGUCCCGGCUAACUACGUGCCAGCAGCCGCGGUAAGACGUAGGGGGCGAGCGUUGCCCGGAAUCACUGGGUGUAAAGGGGACGUAGGCGGAUGAUCAAGUCAUCUGUGAAAAGAUUGCUCAACGAUUGGCUUGCGGAUGAAACUGGUCAUCUUGGGCGUAGCAGAGGUAGACGGAAUUACCUGAGUAGG